AGAAUCCUGUCCACGUGCGAAGCCUACUCCACCUCCAUCAUGGAACCCCCAGCUCCCCUGCCUCCUCUCCACCACCAGCAGCGGCUCCUCUCCAGCACCAGCUUCAGCACCAGUACCAGCUCGGACACCGACCCUGUCAACAUCAACCUCCAGCACGUAACAGCAACGUCUUAUCACCUCACAGAGGUGUUUCUGACUGGAAGAACUCCAUGUACAGCAGCUGUGUGACUGGUGGAGCCGUCAGGUUUCAAGGCUGGAGUCCUGGGAUGUGGAGGCUUUGCUGCUUUUUCUGCAGCAAUUGAAUAUUAUUUACGGUGAACCACUAAGAAGUGAUUCUGUGGACAAGAACUUAUUUGGUGCACAAGAAUGAAGAGUCACGGUGUGAGAAAGUCACUUCUGUGAAUAUUGACCUGCACAUGGAGGAUUGCUGUGAAAACAGACGGGAGUGUAAAGUGACACCGCAGUGGACUGUCUGUAUUUUACAGUGUACUUUAGUUGAAGCAGAACAAAGCAGCCUCUUGUGGAGAAUCUCCAGAAACAGAGCAGAGUGGGUCCACUUCUAUAUCAGAGAUACAUUAAUGAUGGGAAAAUGUGAACUGAAAUCACCUUCUGAGUCAGGACCAUGUCAACUUAGACUGAGAUAAACAGUUCUGGUUGCAGAGCACUGCUGUGACGUGUCAGUGUUAUUUAUAUUAAAGAUGUUUUUGUUAA